UUGAGUGUGGACUGCCUGUCGAUGCGCUACAUUCUCGCUCCUGGAAUAGCGCAUUGUUGCCUCUACUGCACAAAGACUUGUAAAGAGGAAGUGUCAGCAGAUAAGAGCAGCAAAUCUGGCACUCGGUCGCCGUCUUUAUCAGUAAAAGAAGGCCACUUUAGCGCGAAGAAAAGUAAUAUCCAGUGAGAGAUGGUGGUGGCCUCCCUGCAUCAGCUGUGAGGCGUGACACCGACACCUCCUCAACCUUCCUCACACACCUUCCUCGACCCUCCUAGACCCUCCUCACACACCUUCCUAGACCUCCCUCCCUCCAACAAGCCGAGACAGGCUCCUGAGGAAGGUGACCCAGCAAUGGCACAGGUGCCUAUUAGUGCCCAUUGCAGUGCCACCUUGAGGACCCACAAUUCAGACCAAUUACAAUAGGGGAUUUGCAUAGAACUUACACACCUUGCAGAACGGAUGCCUAUCUGCAAGGGUGCCAAUUAUAAACGAAAUUGGUCGAAGUGUAGCUCGGCUACAGGUGGCCAUAUCUCUGAUCUUAUUUUACUCAGGGUGUGAUGCUGAAACUUGGACCAGUUGCAGCCCUUUCUAUAUCCA